CCUACGGGAGGCAGCAGUGAGGAAUAUUGGUCAAUGGCCGUAAGGCUGAACCAGCCAAGUCGCGUGAAGGAAGAAGGAUCUAUGGUUUGUAAACUUCUUUUAUAGGGGAAUAAAGGUAUCCACGUGUGGAUAUUUGCAUGUACCCUAUGAAUAAGCAUCGGCUAACUCCGUGCCAGCAGCCGCGGUAAUACGGAGGAUGCGAGCGUUAUCCGGAUUUAUUGGGUUUAAAGGGUGCGUAGGUGGGCGUUCAAGUCAGCUGUAAAAUCGCGCGGCUCAACCGCGCCCCGCAGUUGAAACUGGACGCCUUGAGUUCACAACAGGCAGGCGGAAUUCGUGGUGUAGCGGUGAAAUGCAUAGAUAUCACGAGGAACCCCGAUUGCGAAGGCAGCCUGCCGGGGUGCGACUGACGCUGAGGCUCGAAGGUGCGGGUAUCAAACAGGAUUAGAUACCCCAGUAGUC
rnacentral:rRNA from 1 species